rnacentral:rRNA from 1 species
GACGAACGCUGGCGGCGUGCUUAACACAUGCAAGUCGAACGGAAAGGCCCUGCUUUUGUGGGGUGCUCGAGUGGCGAACGGGUGAGUAACGCGUGAGUAACCUGCCCUUGACUUUGGGAUAACUUCAGGAAACUGGGGCUAAUACCGGAUAGGAGCUCCUGCUGCAUGGUGGGGGUUGGAAAGUUUCGGCGGUUGGGGAUGGACUCGCGGCUUAUCAGCUUGUUGGUGGGGUAGUGGCUUACCAAGGCUUUGACGGGUAGCCGGCCUGAGAGGGUGACCGGUCACAUUGGGACUGAGAUACGGCCCAGACUCCUACGGGAGGCAGCAGUGGGGAAUAUUGCACAAUGGGCGGAAGCCUGAUGCAGCAACGCCGCGUGCGGGAUGACGGCCUUCGGGUUGUAAACCGCUUUCGCCUGUGACGAAGCGUGAGUGACGGUAAUGGGUAAAGAAGCACCGGCUAACUACGUG